rnacentral:ncRNA from 2 species
UAAACUCGCUAGGGGUGCUCCAGGCUGAGAGGCACAUAGCCAACCCUAAAACCUGAACUCGGUAAUGCGAGCGUAGGGAAGCGAACUUUGAGACCA